rnacentral:rRNA from 1 species
CCCUUAGAUGUUCUGGGCCGCACGCGCGCUACACUGAUGCAUUCAACGAGCCUAUCCUUGACCGACAGGUCCGGGUAAUCUUUGAAUCUGCAUCGUGACGGGGAUAGAUUAUUGCAAUUAUUAAUCUUCAACGAGGAAUGCCAAGUAGGCGCAAGUCAUCAGCUUGCGUCGAUUACGUCCCUGCCCUUUGUACACACCGCCCGUCGCUCCUACCGAUUGGGUGUGCUGGUGAAAUGUUCGGAUCGGCCGUUUGUCGCGGUUUCCGCGUCAUGUGGCUGGGAAGUUCAUUAAACCCUCCCACCUAGAGGAAGGAGAAGUCGUAACA